GGCCUUAUAGCUCAGUUGGUUAGAGUGCAGUACUGAUAACACCAAGGCUGCAGGUUCGAUCCCUGCAUGGGACA